rnacentral:rRNA from 1 species
UACGGGGGUGGCAAGCGUUGUUCGGAAUUACUGGGCGUAAAGCGCGCGCAGGCGGUUCGUUGUGUCGGUGGUGAAAUCCCCGGGCUUAACCUGGGAAUGGCCAUGGAAACUGGCGAACUGGAGUGCGGCAGAGGGGGGUGGAAUUCCGCGUGUAGCAGUGAAAUGCGUAGAGAUGCGGAGGAACACCGAUGGCGAAGGCAGCCCCCUGGGCUAGCACUGACGCUCAGGCACGAAAGCGUGGGGAGCAAACAGG